AUUGAACGCUGGCGGCAGGCCUCACACAUGCAAGUCGAGAGGAGCGGCGGACGGGUGAGUAAUGCCUAGGAAUCUGCCUGGUAGUGGGGGAUAACGUCCGGAACCGGGCGCUAAUACCGCAUACUCUCAGAUGAGCCUAGUUCGGCGUAGCUAGUUGGUGUGGUAAAGGCCUACCAAGGCGACGAUCCGUAACUGGUCUGAGAGGAUGAUCAGUCAGACUGGAACUGAGACCCGGGCCAGACUCCUACGGGAGGCACCAGGGGGGAAUAGUGGAAGAGGGGCGAAAGACUGAUACAGCAAUGCCGCUUGUGUGACGAAGGUCUUGGGAUUGUAAAGCACUUUAAGUUGGGAGGCGUUACCAACAGAAUAAGCACCGGCUAACUUCGUGCCAGCCGCCGCGGUAAUAC
rnacentral:rRNA from 1 species